GGGGAUGUACAGGUUUCGACAAGUAAGAGAAAUCUUGUGUUGCAGGUAGGCGUGAAGGUGCCUUGAACUGACAAAACAAUAACUGCAAAACGUAGAGAAGAAGAAUAUUCUUCAGACGAACAGUUCGCUCUCGCUGCUUAAUUGUAGCUUUGAGCCGGAACUCUUGGUGCGCUGUUCCUAGCGUCAGGAUGUUCUGUCACAAACAGGAACUAGCUUAGUGCAGUGUCCGGGCUGUAUUGGGGACUUCUUCCGGAAUAAGGGAAAGACGCCUUUGAAGCCGCUACCUUUCCUCGAAAAAUACCUCGCUUCAAUAAACCUGUAGAGAUGCCUGGUUUGCUUACAUGGACGCGGGUUCGAUUCCCGCCACCUCCAU
rnacentral:tmRNA from 1 species